CUAGAAAAGGGGUGGAGCUAGCAAAAGUAUGCAAAUGUUUUUAGUUGGUGGCGCUUCACGUUGCACCAGAUAACUCUUUUAUUGCUCUGACUYAGAGCCGACAAUGAAGACCGAUGAAGCUCUGGGAGCUGGAGAAGGUCCUCCUACUAACAGGACAAACCAAAGGAGGCGCAGUAUCGAAUUAUAUCCCCCUGACAUGAGUUUGGAGCAGACUGAGAUCGGUCAGAGUGAUCAACCUGGGGGUCCCCCCGGCACUGUGAUGCACUGGAGGACGACGCUGACAACGUCGAUUAUUAUCAACUUUAAUGUGAUGGUCGACCAGGUUCUACAUUGGAUAAACAAUGUAUUUAAGAAAAUGAGAGGGGAGAGAUGAGAAGCUGAGUUAGAGAAUGUAUUGAUUUGGAGCCAUGCCCUGCCGUAGUGUGAUUCGCUAAGAUCAAAUAAUGAAAAAAGU